AGAAGUGUUUGCUAGAGAUAAUAACAACUAAAGGGAAUGGUCAGGUCACAUACAGUCUUAGAUGUGCGUCAGAAAAUUAUUGUAACACUGGAACGAAAAGAACAUUGCAUUCAAGAUAUUUGACAGUUCAAUGUUGCGAUAGAGACUUAUGUAAUGUUCCUGUAAUCACAACGUUACCAUCACAACCAAACACAACAACAACAACGUCUAUUAAGACAACAACAGAAAUAACCAUCAAAACAACUACCGCUUUGACAACAGCGGUUGACCAUUGUGUAUCCAACCCAUGUGCUCAUGGGACAUGUUCAUCCAGCGUUCACUCAUAUGUGUGUUCUUGUGAACAAGGCUGGAUAGGAUCGAAUUGCAAAACUCCUGAUCCCUGCACAAAUUCUCCAUGUUACAAUGGUUUCUGCUCAAGUUUUGAAAAUGGUACAUUUUCUUGUAUAUGCAACAGUGGUUAUACAGGGCAGCUAUGCGACUUUG